rnacentral:tRNA from 1 species
GCCCUUGUGGUGUAGUGGUCAGCACGCUCGGCGCGUAUUCGAGAGAUCCGUGGUUCGAGUCCCGGCGAGGGCA